GAUGAACGCUGGCGGCGUGCCUAAUACAUGCAAGUCGAGCGAACAGAUAAGGAGCUUGCUCCUUUGACGUUAGCGGCGGACGGGUGAGUAACACGUGGGUAACCUACCUAUAAGACUGGGAUAACUUCGGGAAACCGGAGCUAAUACCGGAUAACAUUUGGAACCGCAUGGUUCUAAAGUGAAAGAUGGUUUUGCUAUCACUUAUAGAUGGACCCGCGCCGUAUUAGCUAGUUGGUAAGGUAACGGCUUACCAAGGCAACGAUACGUAGCCGACCUGAGAGGGUGAUCGGCCACCCUGGAACUGAGACACGGUCCAGACUCCUACGGGAGGCAGCAGUAGGGAAUCUUCCGCAAUGGGCGAAAGCCUGACGGAGCAACGCCGCGUGAGUGAUGAAGGGUUUCGGCUCGUAAAACUCUGUUAUUAGGGAAGAACAAACGUGUAAGUAACUGUGCACGUCUUGACGGUACCUAAUCAGAAAGCCGCGGCUAACUACGUG
rnacentral:rRNA from 1 species